rnacentral:tRNA from 3 species
UAUGUUGUAGUUCAUGAAGAACAUUAAUUUUUGAUAUUAAAAGACAGUUUAAUUCUGCCAACAUAA